CGGAGGAAAAGGAAACCAACCGGGAUUGCCUUAGUAACGGCGAGUGAAGCGGCAAAAGCUCAAAUUUGAAAUCUGGUACCUUCGGUGCCCGAGUUGUAAUUUGGAGAGGGCAACUUUGGGGCCGUUCCUUGUCUAUGUUCCUUGGAACAGGACGUCAUAGAGGGUGAGAAUCCCGUGUGGCGAGGAGUGCGGUUCUUUGUAAAGUGCCUUCGAAGAGUCGAGUUGUUUGGGAAUGCAGCUCUAAGUGGGUGGUAAAUUCCAUCUAAAGCUAAAUAUUGGCGAGAGACCGAUAGCGAACAAGUACAGUGAUGGAAAGAUGAAAAGAACUUUGAAAAGAGAGUGAAAAAGUACGUGAAAUUGUUGAAAGGGAAGGGCAUUUGAUCAGACAUGGUGUUUUGUGCCCUCUGCUCCUUGUGGGUAGGGGAAUCUCGCAUUUCACUGGGCCAGCAUCAGUUUUGGUGGCAGGAUAAAUCCAUAGGAAUGUAGCUUGCCUCGGUAAGUAUUAUAGCCUGUGGGAAUACUGCCAGCUGGGACUGAGGACUGCGACGUAAGUCAAGGAUGC
rnacentral:rRNA from 1 species